rnacentral:misc_RNA from 1 species
CGAGGCAGUUCUGGCGUGCGGCCCACUAAAACGGUCUCGGAGGGUAUAUGAGAAGGGAGCAAAUCCGGCCGAGCCUGAAAGGGCGAGGGAAAACCGGACGAGCAACCUCUCGUACCUGAUCUUGCAGACUUCCACUGCGUGUCCCUCUGUACAGCUUUGCAGGCUCCGGCCUCGGCAGCGGGGGGUUCAUAGUGGUCGUCGACCUCCACGAAACUGCACGCUCCGGCGUGACAGCGUACUGGGGAUGCCUGUGUUUACGCAGUCCGGGCUUGCCUGGACCGCCAGCAGAUGGGCUCUGUGGAUGACUGGCCGCUGGCUAGACCUGAAACCUGAGCAACGGGAGGUAACCUCUCGCCGCGGACACCGGAAUGGUAGAAGCGGCGUGCUGCGUCCUCCUCUUGGGGCCCCU